UACGUAGGUGGCAAGCGUUGUCCGGAUUUACUGGGCGUAAAGAGCGCGCAGGCGGUCGUUCAAGUCGCGUGUGAAAGCCCCCGGCUCAACUGGGGAGGGUCACGCGAUACUGAUCGACUCGAAGGCAGGAGAGGGAAGUGGAAUUCCCGGUGUAGUGGUGAAAUGCGUAGAUAUUGGGAGGAACACCAGUGGCGAAGGCGGCUCACUGGACUGGUACUGACGCUGAGGCGCGAAAGCGUGGGGAGCAAACGGG
rnacentral:rRNA from 1 species